rnacentral:misc_RNA from 1 species
CUGAGCUCCCUCCUUCCUCUUGUCGCUGCUGCUGUGCCUGCUGAUUACUUAGCCCACACGUCUGUAAAACGCGAUACCCCUGCACAUCGACCGCGUACACGCAACACCGAGUGCCGCGGGGCAAAGUGGCUCUCUCAUCACCACGACGGGGACUGAGAACCGCGUCUUUUCCUUUCGUUGGUUCUCGCGUCAAGGUCAGCGGAAGCGAAGCGUCGUGUCUUUGAGUGUGUCAUAGAGAAGGCACAGCGCACCUCUCUCUCGGCCCUCUCUCGUACUCGGGCAUGGCUCCAUUCACCACCUCCACCCCUUGAGCACACAUACGUGUUAUCCCCUACUGCGUGUCGCUUGACGUCCUCAUUCUGUCUCCCCCUCUCUCGCGCGCGCACGUGCACCUGAGUGUGCGUGUGUGUGUGUGUGUGUGUGUGUGUGUUUGUGCUGACGAGUGUGUCGGCCUCCCUCUGCUUCGUGUUUUCUUUCGUGCUCUGCCCCUUCUCGUGUUCCUAUUCUCUUUUACAAUACCCAGCUCCACAACACGACCGCCGCCCACACACACCCUCUCUCCCUCUCACUCUCUAUGCGUGUGUGCGUGUGUGCGUGUGUGUGUGUGUACGUGUGUGUCCUUCUUCUUUUACGCUCAUUCUUCAGCCUCGCCCUUGCGGCCUGCCCCUUUUUCGCUCGAUCUGCUUGUAGGCGCGUGUGGGGCAUGUACAUGGCAGCACACGCCCUUCCAGAACCCCCUCGCCUUUCCAGGAUUCUUGCUUGCCUCUCCGCGCCCCUCCGUAUCUCUCUCUUGUCACUCAAUUUAUAUAUGUGUAUGUGUAUGCCCUCUUUCUCUUCCCCAUCCUCAUCCUCCUCGAUCUCGCCUUUCUUUCAUCCGCCCCGUCUGCUGAAAAAGAGCGUCGCGACUCUCUCUCUUCCUGCAGGGGUCCUGUUUGGUUCUUGUGGUGGUUGGUGGUUGGUGGUGGCGGUGGUGGCCGUUGCCCUCGCGCGUGUAGCAGUGCCCUCCGCACAUAGAUUCUGCGCACCGGGAUCGUGUGCAGACGUUCUCGUGAGUGUAGUCCUGGCCUAUCGUCCCAUCGUAGCGCCGCUACACGAGUAGCGAAAGCGAAGCAGUCGGUGCACACAUAUAGAGAGGGCUCCACCAGACGCAAUGACCCUCUUCCUUUCAGCGGUGCUGCCGGUCCCGAUGCGACUUGCGCCGCUUCUGCUAGGAACCCUCCUGCUCCUGACGGCGGCGGCCCGUGCGAACACCGCGGACGCGCCGUACCGGAUAGCCACCCGCGCCUUUCCAGGGUGCUCCGCUUACGCCGACCACUUCCCCUACAUGCAGACAACCAUCGACUGCAUUGUCAAGGACCUCUGCGUUACGCGCAAGCACUGCUGCAAAAAUGCGCACGAGACGGACCUCGGCAGAUGCCUUGACGUAACUGCCUUUUCCUGCGACACCGCGGCGGUGUGCGCCAAUUACACAGCGGCGUCCUCUAGCAGUAGCUCCAGCACGAGCCCAUGGUUUCCGGAGACGCAGGAUGGGGGUGCAUCGCUGAUGUGCUGCCACGCAGCCGCGACCACAACAGAGGCCCCUGCCGUACCGCCCCUCGACGACGGGAGCUCGGAAGAGGUGAAUCACGACUCUGGCUUGCAGCCGGAAUUGACGUGCGAUGACACGACCUCGAUUGCAUGCAUGGUGGUGCCGAUGCUCCCGCCGACCAUCCGCGCCUUCUGCCAGAAUGACCUCCUGAACAUGUAUACGGACGCGUAUCUUUACGAUAACGUGCCGCGCAUGUGCUGCCAGCACUUGGCCGCCGGCCCUCUCAACGGUAGCAGUGCUGAGUCCCCGAAAACUGGAAAAGUAGCGUGCGGCCUGAAAUUGCUGGAUCUGCCCCGCACAGGCGAGUACCACUGCUCCCUUGACAUGCGCAGCACGACGAAUAUCUGCUGCAAUGGCCGUAUUGAAUACGAUGCAAGCAGCAGCGGCGACGCUGCAAGCGCUGCUUUGUCUGGCGAAAAACUUGUCUUCACUUACAUCAGCAGCAAGUGCCUUUUCCACCUCGAGCCGAACGGCAACAGCGUCUCAUCGCCGGCGAUGUCGGUGGCUCGGCUGCUGACGGUGGCCGCGCUGUCGGUGAUGGCUAUGCACCUGUGCAUGUAGUGGGCCCCUCCCUUUUCCUUUCUGGUUACGGGUACUUCCAAUGAUCCGUCGUGGCACGGGGAGGAGGAGGGGUACACACACACACGCACCUCUCCGUGCGGGGCAACCCCACCAUCCCUGCCAAACGCCGAGCACUUACCGCAUGGGGGAGUCAGAGCGAUGCAUCGCUGCUGGUAUCGGCGGCGAGGUCCCGGGCUGGCGUUGCGUCGGAGCAGCUUGCGAGGGUGUGAACAUGUGUGUGCCAUCCAUGCGAUGGGCAGAGCGUCAGCGCGACUCGAGCGUAUCCCAUCCGGCCCUCACACUGCCUACUGGUGUGGGGCGGCUGCGUGCCACCCCCGAGGGAGGCACCAGGGGUGGCGCACUGCUGUAACGCAUGUAUCUACCGCUGCGUCGCGCCGCACGAUGUGGGGGCCCUGUGGACAGGCCGGUCGGUGGAGGGAGGAGGGGAGGGGUGUAGCGCUUUAGAUCACGUCCUGGUGGCAGAGGAAUGGACACGCGCACACGUUGUGGGUGCGAGAAAGCAAAAUGCGUAACGGUGCCGAGGGUUGUGUGCAUGUGUCUCGCUGCUUUCGACUGCCGUGUCUUUUCUCAUAUAUGGUGAUGUAAAAGCUUGUGUGUGCGUCGGUAGCGGGGUGGGGUUGGUGGAAAGAUGUUGAGGUGUGCUUCAGGUUUGGUAAAGGCGCGCAUGGCAGCAGCAGUGGCAUCAUUGCGCUGAGGAUUUAGUGUCUCCCUGACUCACCACCAUUAUCAUCACGAAACCCCACCAUCUCUCCGAAGGUUGACGCACACAAGCAAGCACGUAGACAUGCGUGUUGUCGUGGCUGCUCUGCCCCCUCCUCCUGCCGGCAUAGCCACCUUCUCUUUCUAUAUUGGCCUUCGUUAGAAAAUAUCUUCAGAGCUACGCGCACGACGUCGUUCUCGCGAAGAAACAGAAGGGGGUGGAGCAGAGGCGCGCACGUGUGAGAGGUGAGAUGGAGUACCUGUGCCUUUGGCGUGGCUUGUUGGAUGAGGGAAGGGGUGCACCGCCCUCAACGUGCACACGCAUACAUCUCACGCCAACCAUCCCCUCGCCCCCGCCUUUUCGCAUUCUUAGCUGCAGCUGGUUAGCUCGGCCCCUCCCCUCCCUCUCCUUCUCCCUUCUUUCCCCUCUCUCUCACCUUCCAUCGGUGUUUGGAAGCGGAACGCGACAUCACAUGGAUGCCGUCCCUCCGUCGG